AUUGAACGCUGGCGGCAGGCCUAACACAUGCAAGUCGAGCGAGCGGCGGACGGGUGAGUAAUGUAUGGGAACUGCCAGCUAGAGGGGGAUAACUACUGGAAACGGUAGCUAAUACCGCAUACUAUCGGAUAACCCAUAGGGGAGUAGAUAGUAGGUGAGUUAAGGGCGCACCUGGGCGACGAUCCCUAGCUGGUCUGAGAGGAUGAUCAGCCACACUGGGACUGAGACACGGCCCAGACUCCUACGGAGGCAGCAGUGGGGAAUAUUGCACAAUGGGCGCAAGCCUGAUGCAGCCAUGCGGCGUGUAUGAAGAAGGCCCUAGGGUUGUAAAGUACUUUCAGUCGGGAGGCGUUACCGACAGAAGAAGCACCGGCUAACUACGUGCCAGCCGCCGCGGUAAUUC
rnacentral:rRNA from 1 species